CCUACGGGUGGCUGCAGUGAGGAAUAUUGGUCAAUGGCCGGAAGGCUGAACCAGCCAAGCCGCGUGAAGGACGAAGGUGCCAAGCAUUGUAAACUUCUUUUGUCAAGGGACAAAAUCAGGCUCGAGAGCCUGACCGAGGGUACUUGAAGAAAAAGCAUCGGCUAACUCCGUGCCAGCAGCCGCGGUAAUACGGAGGAUGCGAGCGUUAUCCGGAUUUAUUGGGUUUAAAGGGUGCGUAGGCGGGCUGUUAAGUCAGCGGUAAAAGCCCGGGGCUCAACCCCGGCGAGCCGUUGAAACUGGCUGUCUUGAGAUGUCGAGAGGUAUGCGGAAUGCGCAGUGUAGCGGUGAAAUGCUUAGAUAUUAGGAGGAACAUCGGUGGCGAAAGCGCUUUACUGGACCAUUAUUGACGCUGAGGAACGAAAGCCAGGGGAGCAAAUGGGAUUAGAUACCCUAGUAGUC
rnacentral:rRNA from 1 species